AGUUCGAUCCUGGCUCAGAUUGAACGCUGGCGGGAUGCUUUACACAUGCAAGUCGAACGGCAGCACGGACUUCGGUCUGGUGGCGAGUGGCGAACGGGUGAGUAAUGUAUCGGAACGUGCCUAGUAGCGGGGGAUAACUACGCGAAAGCGUAGCUAAUACCGCAUACGCCCUUCGGGGGAAAGGGGGACCUUCGGGCCUCGCACUAUUAGAGCGGCCGAUAUCGGAUUAGCUAGUUGGUGGGGUAACGGCUCACCAAGGCGACGAUCCGUAGCUGGUUUGAGAGGACGACCAGCCACACUGGGACUGGAGAUUAUCGGCCCAGACUCCUACGGGAGGCAGCAGUGGGGAAUUUUGGACAAUGGGGGAAACCCUGAUCCAGCCAUCCCGCGUGUGCGAUGAAGGCCUUCGGGUUGUAAAGCACUUUUACAGGAAAGAAACGGCACGGGAUAAUACCCCGUGCAACUGACGGUACCUUGCAGAAUAAGCACCGGCUAACUACGUGCCAGCAGCCGCGGUAAUACGUAGUGCAAGCGUUAAUCGGAAUUAUUGGGCGUAAAGCGUGCGCAGGUUCGGAAAGAAAAGAUGUGAAAUCCCAGAGCUUAACUUUGGAACUGCAUUUUUAACUACCGAGCUAGAGUGUGUCAGGAGGGAGGUGGAAUUCCCGCGGCAGUGAAAUGCGUAUGCGGAGGAACACCGAUGGCGAAGGCAGCUCUGGGAUAACACUGACGUCGCCAUACACGAAAGCGUGGGGAGCAAACAGGAUUAGAUACCCUGGUAGUCCACGCCCUAAACGAUGUCAACUAGUUGGGGCCUUCGGGCCUUGGUAGCGCAGCUAACGCGUGAAGUUGACCGCCUGGGGAGUACGGUCGCAAGAUUAAAACUCAAAGGAAUUGACGGGGACCCGCACAAGCGGUGGAUGAUGUGGAUUAAUUCGAUGCAACGCGAAAACCUUACCUACCCUUGACAUGUUCAAAUCCCGAAGAGACGGGAGUGCUCGCAAGAGAACCGGAACACAGGUGCUGCAUGGCUGUCGUCAGCUCGUGUCGAGAUGCCAAGCCACAAGUCCCGCAACGAGCAACCCUUGUCAUUAGUUGCUACGAAAGGGCACUCUAAUGAGACUGCCGGUGACAAACCGGAGGAAGGUGGGGAUGACGUCAAGUCCUCAUGGCCCUUAUGGGUAGGGCUUCACACGUCAUACAAUGGUCGGGACAGAGUGGUCGCCAACCCGCGAGGGGGAGCCAAUCCCAGAAACCCGAUCGUAGUCCGGAUCGCAGUCUGCAACUCGACUGCGUGAAGUCGGAAUCGCUAGUAAUCGCGGAUCAGCAUGUCGCGGUGAAUACGUUCCUGGGUCUUGUACACACCGCCCGUCACACCAUGGGAGUGGGUUUACCAGAAGUAGUUAGCCUAACCGUAAGGAGGGCGAUUACCACGGUAGGAUUCAUGACUGGGUGAAGUCGUAACAAGGUAG
rnacentral:rRNA from 1 species